AGUCGAGGGGCAGCAUGGUCUUAGCUUGCUAAGGCCGAUGGCGACCGGCGCACGGGUGAGUAACACGUAUCCAACCUGCCGUCUACUCUUGGACAGCCUUCUGAAAGGAAGAUUAAUACAAGAUGGCAUCAUGAGUCCGCAUGUUCACAUGAUUAAAGGUAUUCCGGUAGACGAUGGGGAUGCGUUCCAUUAGAUAGUAGGCGGGGUAACGGCCCACCUAGUCUUCGAUGGAUAGGGGUUCUGAGAGGAAGGUCCCCCACAUUGGAACUGAGACACGGUCCAAACUCCUACGGGAGGCAGCAGUGAGGAAUAUUGGUCAAUGGGCGAGAGCCUGAACCAGCCAAGUAGCGUGAAGGAUGACUGCCCUAUGGGUUGUAAACUUCUUUUAUAAAGGAAUAAAGUCGGGUAUGGAUACCCGUUUGCAUGUACUUUAUGAAUAAGGAUCGGCUAACUCCGUGCCAGCAGCCGCGGUAAUACGGAGGAUUCGAGCGUUAUCCGGAUUUAUUGGGUUUAAAGGGAGCGUAGAUGGAUGUUUAAGUCAGUUGUGAAAGUUUGCGGCUCAACCGUAAAAUUGCAAUUGAUACUGGAUAUCUUGAGUGCAGUUGAGGCAGGCGGAAUUCGUGGUGUAGCGGUGAAAUGCUUAGAUAUCACGAAGAACUCCGAUUGCGAAGGCAGCCUGCUAAGCUGCAACUGACAUUGAGGCUCGAAAGUGUGGGUAUCAAACAGGAUUAGAUACCCUGGUAGUCCACACGGUAAACGAUGAAUACUCGCUGUUUGCGAUAUACUGCAAGCGGCCAAGCGAAAGCGUUA
rnacentral:rRNA from 1 species